rnacentral:rRNA from 1 species
UUCGGGGGUAGAGCACUGUUUCGACUAGGGGGUCAUCCCGACUUACCAACUCGAUGCAAACUACGAAUACCGAAGAAUGUUAUCAGAAGUUGGGUAGGGGAGCGUUCUGUAAGCCUGUGAAGGUGUGCUGUGAGGCAUGCUGGAGGUAUCAGAAGUGCGAAUGCUGACAUAAGUAACGAUAAUGCGGGUGAAAAACCCGCACGCCGGAAGACCAAGGGUUCCUGUCCAACGUUAAUCGGGGCAGGGUGAGUCGACCCCUAAGGCGAGGCAGAAAUGCGUAGUCGAUGGGAAACGGGUUAAUAUUCCCGUACUGGUGAUAAUUGCGAUGGGGGGACGGAGAAGGCUAGGCUAUCCGGGCGACGGUUGUCCCGGUUUAAGGAUGUAGGCAGGUGAAUUAGGCAAAUCCGGUUCACUAUAUGCUGAGGUCCGAYGACGAGUCACUACGGUGAUGAAGUAGCUCAUGCCCCGCUUCCAGGAAAAGCCUCUAAGCUCUAGAUUAUCAUUAAUCGUACCCCAAACCGACACAGGUGGUCAGGUAGAGAAUACUCAGGCGCUUGAGAGAACUCGGGUGAAGGAACUAGGCAAAAUGGUGCCGUAACUUCGGGAGAAGGCACGCUGGCAUUAGGUGAAGUGAUUUACUCAUGGAGCUGAAGCCAGUCGCAGAUACCAGCUGGCUGCAACUGUUUAUUAAAAACACAGCACUGUGCAAACACGAAAGUGGACGUAUACGGUGUGACGCCUGCCCGGUGCUGGAAGGUUAAUUGAUGGGGUUAUCCGUAAGGAGAAGCUCUUGAUCGAAGCCCCAGUAAACGGCGGCCGUAACUAUAACGGUCCUAAGGUAGCGAAAUUCCUUGUCGGGUAAGUUCCGACCUGCACGAAUGGCGUAAUGAUGGCCAGGCUGUCUCCACCCGAGACUCAGUGAAAUUGAACUCGCUGUGAAGAUGCAGUGUACCCGCGGCAAGACGGAAAGACCCCGUGAACCUUUACUAUAGCUUGACACUGAACAUUGAGCCUUGAUGUGUAGGAUAGGUGGGAGGCUUYGAAGCGUGGACGCCAGUCUGCGUGGAGCCAACCUUGAAAUACCACCCUUUAAUGUUUGAUGUUCUAACGUUGCCCCAUUAUCUGGGGUGCGGACAGUGUCUGGUGGGUAGUUUGACUGGGGCGGUCUCCUCCCAAAGAGUAACGGAGGAGCACGAAGGUUGGCUAAGCAUGGUCGGACAUCAUGCGGUUAGUGCAAAGGCAUAAGCCAGCUUGACUGCGAGAGUGACGGCUCGAGCAGGUACGAAAGUAGGUCUUAGUGAUCCGGUGGUUCUGAAUGGAAGGGCCAUCGCUCAACGGAUAAAAGGUACUCCGGGGAUAACAGGCUGAUACCGCCCAAGAGUUCAUAUCGACGGCGGUGUUUGGCACCUCGAUGUCGGCUCAUCACAUCCUGGGGCUGAAGUAGGUCCCAAGGGUACGGCUGUUCGCCGUUUAAAGUGGUACGCGAGCUGGGUUUAGAACGUCGUGAGACAGUUCGGUCCCUAUCUGCCGUGGGCGUUGGAAGAUUGAAAGGGGCUGCUCCUAGUACGAGAGGACCGGAGUGGACGCACCACUGGUGUUCGGGUUGUCAUGCCAAUGGCAUUGCCCGGUAGCUAAGUGCGGAAGAGAUAACCGCUGAAAGCAUCUAAGCGGGAAACUUGCCUUGAGAUGAGUCUUCCCUGACUCUUCCCUGA